GAGCAUCAGAUAGUCCUCCUUCUCGGGACACCAUCCUCCUUCCAGGGGCACAGUCCUCCCUCCCCAGGACAAAGUCCUCCUUCCCUGGACACAGUCCUCCUUCCAGGGGCACAGUCUUCCUUCCCAGGAUAUAGUCCUCCUUCCCAGGGUACAGUCCUCCCUCCCCAGGACACAAUCAUCCUUUUUGGGGCACAGUCCUCCUUCCCCAGGACACAGUCCUCCUUCCCCAGGACACAGUCCUCCUUCCCUGGACACAGUCCUCCUUCCCCAGGACACAGUCCUCCUUCCCUGGACACAGUCCUCCUUCCCAGGACACAGUCCUCCUUCCCCAGGACACAGUCCUCCUUCCCCAGGACAACAGUCCUCCUUCCCCAGGAACACAGUCCUCCUUCCCAGGACACAGUCCUCCUUCCCCAGGACACAGUCCUCCUUCCCCAGGACACAGUCCUCUUUCCCCAAGACACAGUCCUCCUUCCAGGGGCACAGUCUUCCUUCCCAGGAUAUAGUCCUCCUUCCCAGGGUACAGUCCUCCCUCCCCAGGACACAAUCAUCCUUUUUGGGGCACAGUCCUCCUUCCCCAGGACACAGUCCUCCUUCCCUGGACACAGUCCUCCUUCCCCAGGACACAGUCCUCUUUCCCCAGGACACAGUCCUCCUUCCCUGGACACCGUCCUCCUUCCAGGGGCACAGUCCUCCCUCCCCAGGACAAAGUUCUCCUUCCCUGGACACAGUCCCCCUUCCAGGGGCACAGUCUUCCUUCCUGGGUCGGUCCUAUAUCCUCCCUCCCAAGGACAGUCAGCCCACCUGACAGUGUUCAGACAACCUCAGCCUGGCAGGUGUUCACAGGCUCCUGGUUUAAAGGAUCAGAAGCUGGGGACGAGGCUGGCCAGGGUGCAAGUAAUUCGCCUGCUGUCACCCAUCAGUCAAAACAGCUUAGUGGAGGGGCCAGGUGCGCAGGCCAAGCCACACGAAGAGAGGAGUCACUUCUGCAGGGUCAAACUUGGUGUGGUUUAGCCUCCAAACUGGCCCCUGGCCCCCAUGUUGUGCCUGGGUAUGGGGAGCGAGGCCGUCCCCGUCCCUCCCAGCCCCACUCAGGCUCCCUCCUGCUUCAGAGGACUGGGCCCCGCUAGCCUGGCAGGAGCCAGGCACUGCGACUUGAUCUGUUGUGUCUUCUCUGUGAGCGGCUUCACCAUUAAGAAAGCAAGGGGCCUCGGCCCAGUGGCACGGAUCCGACACACUCCAUGUCCUAAUUAUCCAGGAUGAGUCAGCAGAUCUGCUCGGCAGGCUCCCAGAGGCCUGGCCGCCAGCCCACAGCCACAGAACUUCAGAAGGAAGGACCUCUGUACCUGAGGAGCCCCACGUGACCUUGUCCCAACGACGCCCCUCGGUCCUCCGUAUUUGUACCCCUGGGGGCUGCAGGGGUGAGGGAAGCUAACCAUGAGGUUUUCAUGUGAGGCUCAGGUUCUGGAAAGAAAUACCAUUCCCAGAAAGUCAGGCCUCUGAGACUAUUUUCACCAGACAGCGGGCGAAUCGCCCAGGACCGCCCCCCAGCAGGAGCACCACACAAAGACCACUCCGGGCUAUCUCUGCAGAAAGGGGCCCCGGGUGACCCCCACGAGCACCCCUGUCUUUGCUGCCGUUCCCUUUCCCAGCCGGCGUCCAACCCAGAGAGGAGACAGCUGGUAGUCACUGUGCAGGUGUGAGGCCCGGAAUGCCAGGCUGGCCGCUGGGGGCCACAGCCUCCUCGUCCUCACCAGAGGCGCCCGUGCGCGUCCUCAGCGCUGUGACGCAGCUCAAGGGCUGGCCCACGUCCACAGGCACGCUGAAUGUCCUUGCCACCUGCCAGAACCUCCUCCUGCACCCCCACCCCCGUCAGAGGGGGUCCCAGUGGGAGGCUCCCACCUCUACUCACUUGGGAUCCCACCGAUUUUCCUUUUUGAUUCCGCAACCCCGUGUCCCUGCGGGGGUGCUGGCUGCGAGGGACACACCAUGGCCAGUCUGGACUUUGUCCUGU
ensembl:lncRNA